GUACCCUGUGGUGUUAAGGGGCCAUAAGGAACAGUGACUGAACUCAGGACAUCAAACAUUUGAGUGCUUGGGUCGUACUGCUGGUUCUGCACACAGGAGCUACUGCUGGAAGGACUGGGGGACCUUAUGUGGUAUUGGGGAUCAAACCCUCUUUGGCAGCAUGCAAGAUUUUAAACAUAGAAAGGAAAAGAAAAAAUAGAGAAAGAAACAGAAAUAAAGAAAAAGAGAAAGAGAGAGAGAAGAAAAGAGGGAAAGAGAAGAAAAAAAGUUACAUUACGAUUAAGUGAAUAAAAAUAAACAAUCUUCCUGCACAGAAUGCGUAAAGGAUGAGGCAUACACCACAUCCAGAUUCCCUUUGUGUGAGACUGCACUGUGGAUCCAACUGAGAAACCUGCAGAGGGAAGUGAAUAGACG